CCGAAUGAGAAUGAAUCAAUGUCAUAGAUAAUAAUUGACGAAAUGAUUCCAAUAGAGCGGAUGUCUGUUAUCGAUAAUAAACCAUAUACACCCUCCCACAUAUAAUGUAUUAUAAUUUAUACUCCUACACUGCAUGAUAUAUAACGUAAGAAAAUACAUCUAGCGAUGAUUUACGGUUCUAACGAUAGUAACUCUAACUAACAAGAUCUAACGGACACAUAACGUUUAAUACCGUCAAAUAUAUUUAUGAUAUACUAGCAUAUACAUAAGCUCGUAGAACUCUGGCAAAUAAAUAAAUGCUCAAAAAUUACUUAAAUCCUUGAGUAUACGUCUGUCAGCUGUCUUUGACGUACGAUGUAAACAGUAAUUGUAACAGAACAUUGAACAUCGUAUACACGUAUCAAUUUACCAAAGAGCAUUUGCCAGUAGAACUUCUUGUGGCUUCACCCACAUAUUGACCACUGUUCUUCCAGCACAUAUGGCACUAACGAUACGAAUUCAAGCACACUUUAUCCAAGACACUAGCAAAUUCGUCGUCUGGUCAGCAGAAAAAAA